UACGGGGGGGGCAAGCGUUGUUCGGAAUUACUGGGCGUAAAGGGCGCGUAGGCGGCCUGGGAAGUUCUGGGUGAAAGCCCCCGGCUCAACCGGGGAAGUGCCUGGAAAACCACUGGGCUGGAGUGCUGGAGAGGGAAGCGGAAUUCCUGGUGUAGCGGUGAAAUGCGUAGAGAUCAGGAGGAACAUCGGCGGCGAAGGCGGCUUCCUGGACAGACACUGACGCUGAGGCGCGAAAGCCAGGGGAGCAAACAGG
rnacentral:rRNA from 2 species